rnacentral:rRNA from 1 species
AGCAGCCGCGGUAAUUCCAGCUCCAAUAGCGUAUAUUAAAGUUGUUGCAGUUAAAAAGCUCGUAGUUGAAUUUCGGGAUCAAAUUGUCGGUCGUGCCUCGGUACGUACUGGCGUUAUUGGUUCCUCCCUUCUGAAGAACCGCGAUGUCAUUAAUUUGGUGUCGCGGGGAAUCAGGACUGUUACUUUGAAAAAAUUAGAGUGUUUAAAGCAGGCUCGCGCUUGAAUACAUUAGCAUGGAAUAAUGAAAUAGGACGUUUGAUUCUAUUUUGUUGGUUUCCAGGAUCGACGUAAUGAUUAAUAGGGAUAGUUGGGGGCAUUAGUAUUCAAUUGUCAGAGGUGAAAUUCUUGGAUUUAUUGAAGACUAACUACUGCGAAAGCAUUUGCCAAGGAUGUUUUCAUUAAUCAAGAACGAAAGUUAGGGGAUCGAAGACGAUCAGAUACCGUCGUAGUCUUAACCAUAAACUAUGCCGACUAGGGAUCGGAUGAUGUUAAUUUUUUAAUGACUCAUUCGGCGCCUUAC